CAUACACACACAGUCUGUCUCUUUCUCCCUUUCAGUCAAUCCCCUUCCUCUCUUGGUCCUACUCAAGCCUUUUCCCACCCCCGACUCUGCCUCGGCGAUGAGUCCGCUGUCUGGAUCCCUUUUCCCAGGCGUGGGCUGAGGACCCAGCGGUUCGGCAGCGGGGAUCAUCGCACGACGCUCCCGGACCCCUACAACCUCCUGUUCUCCAGCGGCCUCCAGCAUGACCACCGGGCUGGGAGCAGGCAUCCGGGCUGCCGGAGCGCUCGCUGCUCAGUGGCUCAGCCCUGCGCCGCCUUUGCCGGGAGCGGGGAUCCGAGGUGGGAGAAGGCCUCUUCGCCCGGCUCCUGGGCACAGCUACCUGCCUGAACAGCUGCCUGGCACCGAGCCUGCGCUCCCCGAGCACCCGGCCGCGGGUCCGCGACGCCUUCCGGGGCUGAGUAGCCGAAAACUAUCUCCUACUGCAAGAAUCUACCCCGGAAGAGAGAGCCCAGAGAAUUGCCCAAGCUGUCUGCAAACAGUCAAUUGACGUGAAGGAAAAUUGGGACCAAUUGAAAACCCAUGCGAGCAACUGGCAGAAACAGGUGGAAAAGGCGUUAGAGAAACUUCAAGAACCGCAGAAAGCUCUGGAUGAUCUUGAGUCUCAUGUGAUAACAGCUGAGGGGGUCCACACUGAUUGGCAACCUGUGAAUGACCUGUUUAUUGACGCAUUGCAGGAUCACAUUGAUAAAACCACAGGUAAGGACUGCCUGCAAAAUCUGAGAUUGGGUUUUGAAAGACAUCAACCUUUGCUUGCGAGAGAUAAUGGUAACUGCAGAUGCUAGAGAAUGCGAGAUAACAAUGUGUGGAGCUGGAUGAACACAGCAGGCCAAGCAGCAUCUCAGGAGCACAAAAGCUGACAUUUCGGGCCUCGACCCUUCAUGCGAGAGAACGUAACGCUUUUAAAGAAGAAAUUGCCCCAGUCAAACAAGAAGUCAAAAUAUUAAAUGAUCUGGCCAGUCAGUUAUCUCCGCUUGAUGUCUCUUUCUCUCCAAAGAUUUCUCACCAGCUUGACGACCUAAAUAUGAGGUUGAAAUUUAUACAGGUAACAGUGAAAACAUUUUCUAAACUAGCCAAUCUGUUGAAGAAAGCAUGUCCAGAUAAUUUGGCUUCAAAUAUAUGAGCAAGAUAAAGAACCGUUUCAAUUGAAG